GUCCACGCCCUAAACGAUGUCGACUGGUUGUUGGGGUUUGACACUCUCAGUAACGAAGCUAACGCGUGAAGUCGACCGCCUGGGGAGUACGGCCGCAAGGUUAAAACUCAAAGGAAUUGACGGGGACCCGCACAAGCGGUGGAUUAUGUGGAUUAAUUCGAUGCAACGCGAAAAACCUUACCUACCCUUGACAUGUCCGAGAGCCCGCAGAGAUGUGGGUGUGCCCGAAAGGGAAUCGGAACACAGGUGCUGCAUGGCUGUCGU
rnacentral:rRNA from 1 species